rnacentral:rRNA from 1 species
CUACGGGGGGCUCCAGUGGGGAAUAUUGGACAAUGGGGGAAACCCUGAUCCAGCAAUGCCGCGUGUGUGAAGAAGGCCUGCGGGUUGUAAAGCACUUUCGGUUGGGAGGACUGCUUCUAGCACUAAUAUUGUUGGAAGUUGACGUUACCUUCAGAAGAAGCACCGGCUAACUCCGUGCCAGCAGCCGCGGUAAUACGGAAGGUGAAGCGUUAAUCGGAAUUACUGGGCGUAAAGCGCGCGUAGGCGGCUUGAUCAGUCGGGUGUGAAAGCCCCGGGCUUAACCUGGGAACUGCAUCCGAUACUGUCUAGCUUGAGUACAGGAGAGGAGAGUGGAAUUCCACAUGUAGCGGUGAAAUGCGUAGAUAUGUGGAGGAACACCAAUGGCGAAGGCAGCUCUCUGGCCUGAUACUGACGCUGAGGUGCGAAAGCGUGGGGAGCAAACAGGAUUAGAUACCCUUGUAGUC